AUAUGAAUAUCCUAGAGAUCUUAUUAAAAUGUGGAUUCUGAUUGAAUAGGUCUGGGUGAGAUUUGAGAUUCUCCUUUUCUAACAAGCUCCCAGGUGAUGCCAGC
rnacentral:miRNA from 1 species